CCAAACGGUCUGAUGAGUUGGCUGUUAAGGAUUCUCUGGCUCUCAGUGUUCAGUGUGCAGGUUAUGUGUCUAAUAUGGCCCAACGCCUAUUUGCUCGAACCCGCCAAGUUGAAUCAUUGGCGGCUGAAGUGAUAAGUCUCAAACAGAAUAUCAGAGGGCUCAAGCAUGAGAAUAAACAGUUACACAGACUCACACAUGACUAUGCUACAAACAUGAAGAGGAAGCUCGACCAGCUGCAGGAAUCUGAUGGUCAGAUUUUACUUGAUCAUCAGAGAUUUGUGGGUUUGUUCUAAAGGCAUUUAUUGCCUUCAUCUUCUGGGGCUGUACUGCGUAAUGAAGCUCCAAAUGAUCAACCUUCGGUGCCUCCUCCUUCUGGGGUUCUACCUAGUACUGAGGUUCCGAAUAAUCACCCUCUGGUGCCUCCUCUUUCUGGGGCUCUACCGAUUGCUGAGACUUCUUCUGAGCAACCUUUGUGAAGGCUCCCUCUUGUUUGUUUAUUUUGAUUCAUGUAUAUGUACAUAUUUGUAACUUAUCGGAGAUAUCAAUAAACAAGCCUUGCUUCAUUUCAACGUAUUGUGUUAAAUACACCAAGGCCUUCUUCACUAAGUUCUUUGAAUUUUUCCUUUUGUUGAAGCAUGUAUGUUGAAACUUUGUGAGUGAAGCAUGUAGGUUGAGGUAGUGCUCCCUUAAUUUCCCGAGUGAGGAAAACUUCUCGUUUGGAGACUUGAAAAAUCCAAGUCACUGAGUGGUCGUGAGACUUCCGAGUAUCGAGGUGCAGUAACAUAUGGUAGGAGUCCCCCAAGUCUCCGGUCGAGGGAGUUGAUGAAUGAGGCACUUCCUUUCUAAGUGAUAGCCCAAAACUCCUUCUUCAUAUAUAUUUGUUAUGAAAGUUGUUAGGACCAAAGAAGAUGAGGCCUAGGCAAUUAUUAAUUUUUUUUUUUUUAAUUUUCGAAUUUUCAAAUUUCUAAAUUUUUUAAUUUUUGAAUUUUCAAAUUUCCGAAAAAAUAAAUUAAAUAUAUAUAUAUUAAAGCUUUGUAGGUGAAGCUUUGGUGUUGAAGCUUUGUAGGUGAAGCUUUGAGAUUGAAGCUUUGUUGGGCACCAUGAAUUGAUUUUGCUUCACACUAUCUUGAUCAAGAUAGUGUGAAGCUUUUGUGUUCAAGUUUUGUAGGUGAAGCUUUUGUGGGUGAAGCUUUUGUGGGUAAAGCUUUUGUAGGUCAAACUUUGUUGGGCACCAUGAAUUGAUUUUGCUUCACACUAUCUUGAGCUUUUGUAGGUGAAGCUUUUGUGUGGAAGUUUUGUAGGUCAAGCUUUUGUGGGUCAAGCUUUUGUAGGUGAAGCAUUUGUGGGUCAAGCUUGUUGGAAAUGUGCCCUAAAACCAAUCAUAUGAUGAUACUUUACGAACAUUUCACAUGUUAAACUAAUCUAGUUUAAUAUCAAGGGCAAAGAUUAUUGUUUGAGCCGUCUCAUAUAAAUGUUAUAGGCUUAAACGAUAAGUCCAAGGAAUAUGUGAUUGGGAGAAUGCGAUCUAAAGAAGUUAGAUUUAUGAGACCAUUCUUUCGUAGACACAUCCUAAGAAGUUUGAUCAUAGGAUUGCCAAUUGGGCAUUGACAGUCCGUUAAGAUCAGUACGUGUUAUGUCUUCUCUCAUGGAGAGUGACUAGUCUCGAGUCAUUGGUGUGUGUGACAUCAAGAAAAGUACGUAGGUGCUCAAUAGAGAAUGAGUUCACUGAACACGAUCAACGAAGAGUUCUCAUACGCAUGUCACAUGAGAACUCAUGGUUGGGAUAAUGAAAAGUAGUCCUUUGACCUGAGGUAUCAUAGUUGUCUUGUGGUUAGGUCCUUGAUCUUUGAUUAUGUCAAAGUCACCCCAUCCGCGGGUGUCCACGGCAUCGUCGGGGUUAAACCACUUAGCCAUGGAGGCAAGUGAAUGUGCAACAAGGGAUCUCUAACCUUCAAACCGUUUAGGGGAGAAUAGUCUAUGAUAUGAUUAAGAAUCUCUGGCCAGAGUAUGAAUGAGAUUUAGGAAGUCGUUCCAAUUCACAUUCAAG
rnacentral:lncRNA from 1 species